CCUGCUUCGUGGCCGCCCUCCGCCGCCGUUGCGCACGUGGAGCCGGAGGUCGGAGAUCUGCCUCGUUGAGCCAGAGCCGGAGGUCCGAGGCUUUCAGUGACACUUUCAAUAUAUCCUGCUGUAGACCACAACGGCCACACAGAUGAUUGAUGAUGAGGCCAACUUCGACAAUAUGCUUGAUGGUGCAGAAGAAGUUCAGGCUACUGCAAAGUUCCGUCCCAACCAACAUCCCAAACCCCAAAAAA